rnacentral:rRNA from 1 species
GGCUUAACACAUGCAAGUCGAGGGGCAGCAUGGUCUUAGCUUGCUAAGACUGAUGGCGACCGGCGCACGGGUGAGUAACACGUAUCCAACCUGCCGUCUACUCUUGGACAGCCUUCUGAAAGGAAGAUUAAUACAAGAUGGCAUCAUGAGUCCGCAUGUUCACAUGAUUAAAGGUAUUCCGGUAGACGAUGGGGAUGCGUUCCAUUAGAUAGUAGGCGGGGUAACGGCCCACCUAGUCUUCGAUGGAUAGGGGUUCUGAGAGGAAGGUCCACCACAUUGGAACUGAGACACGGUCCAAACUCCUACGGGAGGCAGCAGUGAGGAAUAUUGGUCAAUGGGCGAGAGCCUGAACCAGCCAAGUAGCGUGAAGGAUGACUGCCCUAUGGGUUGUAAACUUCUUUUAUAAAGGAAUAAAGUCGGGUAUGCAUACCCGUUUGCAUGUACUUUAUGAAUAAGGAUCGGCUAACUCCGUGCCAGCAGCCGCGGUAAUACGGAGGAUCCGAGCGUUAUCCGGAUUUAUUGGGUUUAAAGGGAGCGUAGAUGGAUGUUUAAGUCAGUUGUGAAAGUUUGCGGCUCAACCGUAAAAUUGCAGUUGAUACUGGAUAUCUUGAGUGCAGUUGAGGCAGGCGGAAUUCGUGGUGUAGCGGUGAAAUGCUUAGAUAUCACGAAGAACUCCGAUUGCGAAGGCAGCCUGCUAAGCUGCAACUGACAUUGAGGCUCGAAAGUGUGGGUAUCAAACAGGAUUAGAUACCCUGGUAGUCCACACGGUAAACGAUGAAUACUCGCUGUUUGCGAUAUACGGCAAGCGGCCAAGCGAAAGCGUUAAGUAUUCCACCUGGGGAGUACGCCGGCAACGGUGAAACUCAAAGGAAUUGACGGGGGCCCGCACAAGCGGAGGAACAUGUAGUUUAAUUCGAUGAUACGCGAGGAACCUUACCCGGGCUUAAAUUGCAGAUGAAUUACGGUGAAAGCCGUAAGCCGCAAGGCAUCUGUGAAGGUGCUGCAUGGUUGUCGUCAGCUCGUGCCGUGAGGUGUCGGCUUAAGUGCCAUAACGAGCGCAACCCUUGUUGUCAGUUACUAACAGGUUCCGCUGAGGACUCUGACAAGACUGCCAUCGUAAGAUGUGAGGAAGGUGGGGAUGACGUCAAAUCAGCACGGCCCUUACGUCCGGGGCUACACACGUGUUACAAUGGGGGGUACAGAGGGCCGCUACCACGCGAGUGGAUGCCAAUCCCAAAAACCUCUCUCAGUUCGGACUGGAGUCUGCAACCCGACUCCACGAAGCUGGAUUCGCUAGUAAUCGCGCAUCAACCACGGCGCGGUGAAUACGUUCCCGGGCCUUGUACACACCGCCCGUCAAGCCAUGGGAGCCGGGGGUACCUGAAGUGCGUAACCGCGAGGAGCGCCCUAGGGUAAAACUGGUGACUGGGGCUAAGU